GCCCGGCUAGCUCAGUCGGGAGAGCAUGGGACUCUUAAUCGCAGGGUCGUGGGUUCGAGCCCCACGUUGGGCG
rfam:Nematostella vectensis strain CH2 x CH6 NEMVEscaffold_659_Cont31404, whole genome shotgun sequence.